rnacentral:rRNA from 1 species
GUGGGGAAUAUUGGACAAUGGGGGCAACCCUGAUCCAGCCAUGCCGCGUGAGUGAAGAAGGCCCUAGGGUUGUAAAGCUCUUUCAGCGAGGAAGAUAAUGACGGUACUCGCAAAAGAAGCCCCGGCUAACUCCGUGCCAGCAGCCGCGGUAAUACGGAGGGGGCUAGCGUUGUUCGGAAUUACUGGGCGUAAAGCGUGCGUAGGCGGUUUGCUAAGUUGGGCGUGAAAGCCCGGGGCUCAACCCCGGAACUGCGUUCAAAACUGGCAGACUAGAGGCCGGUAGAGGAGAGCGGAAUUCCCAGUGUAGAGGUGAAAUUCGUAGAUAUUGGGAAGAACACCAGUGGCGAAGGCGGCUCUCUGGCCCGGUUCUGACGCUGAGGCACGAAAGCGUGGGGAGCGAACAGG